rnacentral:rRNA from 1 species
GGAAUAUUGCGCAAUGGACGAAAGUCUGACGCAGCGACGCCGCGUGGGUGAUGAAGGCCUUCGGGUCGUAAAGCCCUGUCGAAAGGGAAGAAACACGAUUUGGCUAAUAUCCAAGUCGCUUGACGGUACCUUUAAAGGAAGCACCGGCUAACUACGUGCCAGCAGCCGCGGUAAUACGUAGGGUGCUAGCGUUGUUCGGAAUCAUUGGGCGUAAAGCGCGUGUAGGUGGUCAGUAAAGUUGGGUGUGAAA